GGCGGGAAGAGAGAGACGACAGGGAGAGGGUUAGCACUUUUGCAGAUGGCAGUCAAGCUCCAUGCCAUCCAGGACCUCUAUACCAGGCGGUAUCAGAGGAAGGCCCUAAAAACGGUCAAAGACUCCUGCCACCCAAGUCAUAGACUAUUCUCCCUGCUACCGCACGGCAAGAAGUACCAGAGUGCCGAAUCUGGAACCAAAAGUCUCCUGAACAGCUUCUACCCCAAAGCCAUAAGAUUGCUGAACAAUUAAUGAAAUGGCAACCCAGGACAAUUUGAAUUGAACCCCUUUUUUUUGCACAGACUCUACACACAAACUCAUACAUACAGUGCCCUCCUAAAAUAUUGGAACAAAUAUGCAUUUUGUUUUGGCUCUGUACUCCAGCACUUUGGAUUUGAAAAGAUACCAUGACCAUGAUGUUAAAGUGCAGAAUGUCAACUUUAAUUUGAGAUUAUUUUCAUCCAUAUCAUUUGAAUUGUUUAGAAAUUACAGCACCUUGUGUACAUGGUCCCCCCCAUUUUAGGGGACCGAAAGUAUUGGGACAAACUCACUUAUGUGUAUUAAAGUAGUAGAAAGUUAAGUAUUUCGUCCCAUAUUCAUAGCGUGCAAUGAUUACAUCAAGAUUGUGACUCUACAAAUUGGUAGGAUGCAUUUGCUGUUUGUUUUGGUUGUGUUUCAGAUGAUUUUGUGCCAAAUAGAAAUGUUUCCGAA